CCUCAAUAGCCUAAUCUCAGCGUCCGGCUCCUCUCUUGCACUCCCAGGGAGGGCAAGUUGGGAGAGCAGAGGGCGUCGUGGGCAUGGUCGCAGUCCUUUCUGAGCGCCGCUUUCAGGGUUAAAGUUCCGGAAUCCGAGGCAUACCCCAAUAAAAUAAAGAGGCAACCAGGCGAUACCGACUAUCUCACCAGCCUCUGCACCUAUAGGACUUGGAGACGUCACGAGUCACGCAACCGGCCCGCGCGCUGUCACGCUCGACUGGGGGCAGCGGCAGGAGGUUAAUUUCUUCGUCUUCGCCUAUCAGUCCCAAGUCUGAGCGGCCACAAGUCCCAGACUCCUCGGCCGCGGGAAUAAAUAAAGAAAUAAACAAACGCAACGCUCUCUGGUGGAAAUGGGGGUGGCGAACAUCAGACACAAAUAGAGCCAAGAUCAAUUUUCUUCGGGAGGGAAAAGGGGGUUGCUCUUGGCCAAAGGAGGUGGGAGCCCACCUCAGCCCACAAUUGGAAAGAAAAGUUGUUCCGAGGAUCAAUGAGGUUUCUUGCAGGAGGCAAGACAGUCGUCUUCUUGUCUAAAAAUUAUUUUUUCCGCGGAGGAGGUCUCUGCAAAUGAAUAUUGAGGCGCCUCUAGCUGGUUCUGUUCGGGACACGGUAACUCAGUGCCCGCUUGCAGACCUGCAAAGAACUAAUUACUAGGUUCUCACGGAGGGGAAAUGAGACAGAGACGUUAGGAGGAAGAAAGAGAGGUGUCCGCAAUGUUUCCUGAGGAGAAAAAGUCCAUUCUGCGAAUGCUCCUUCAGCCAGCACCUUGGCGGAUGCGCGCGAGCUUUUGCGCGCAGCUGGAAAUGCGCUAGGUUCCGUUGAGAGCAGCGUACUGCGUAGACCGCCCCGGCCGCGCGGAGGGAAGAGCUAUGCCUGCCCAGCACAGUUCGAAACUGGCCUUCCGAACGGCCCGGGGCCGCGAGGUCGGUAGCGAGUCUCCCCUGGCCUCCUGGUGCUGCAAGCCUGGCCUCGGGGGGCAGCCCCGGCAGAAGGGUCCGGAAGCGGGGACCCCUGGAGCCUCCCUCCCCGGCACGGUCACACCCGGAAAACUUCGGGGUGAAACUGUCAGGCUCUUUGUGGGCUGUGACUGACAUAGGUUCCCGGUGGAAAAGUUCCUGGUGGAAAAGUUCCUGGCGAUUGUUUCCGCCGGGGCCCUUGGUUCCCUAGUCACCAUGGCAACCCCAGAGUCCCGUGGAACGCUCUUAACAAUGGGGCGCGCAGAGGACAAUGCGCACUUCUGCGGAGCGCCCAGAGGCCUGCAGGGCGCUUCCGCCCAUCGCUCCUGGCUUUCCGGAGCCUCCGCAGUGGGUUCAACACCGCAGGGCUUGAAAAACUAUCCCCUUUUCUUAACCGUAGUAAAAAUCGAGAUUUCGUAGAAUCUCUGUGGGGUAGGUUCCCGUCUUGUGCAAAAGCAAUCACUUUGGCUUGAAAGCGGUGACCUCGAAGAUGGGUGCGCCGGCGGUAGGCCAAAUACUUUCAUCGAAGGCCGAAUACUUUCACUGAAGCCUGCACCCCUAACACAACCAGGGACCUGGGAUCCGGAGUCCCUUCACAUAUACAACCUACCCCCGUCCACACGCCAGGCUCGCCGCAUUCGUCCAAGCAGCCUUUCCCCUGCCUGGAAUACCAACCUUCUCCUAAAAGCAAGGGCAAAAAUCGGCAUUGUGGCGUUCAUGUUUCUGCAAGGUCUUAUUGAGGCAAAGAAUAAAUCUUAGUCGUUUUCCUUUUAGAGGAAAACGUUUCUUCGAUUGUGGAUGUAAGCUAUGUAGCAUUAAAAUAAUA